GAUGAACGCUGGCGGCGUGCCUAAUACAUGCAAGUCGAGCGAACAGACGAGGAGCUUGCUCCUCUGACGUUAGCGGCGGACGGGUGAUUAACACGUGGAUAACCUACCUAUAAGACUGGGAUAACUUCGGGAAACCGGAGCUAAUACCGGAUAAUAUAUUGAGCCGCAUGGUUCAAUAGUGAAAGACGGUUUUGCUGUCACUUAUAGAUGGAUCCGCGCCGCAUUAGCUAGUUGGUAAGGUAACGGCUUACCAAGGCAACGAUGCGUAGCCGACCUGAGAGGGUGAUCGGCCACACUGGAACUGAGACACGGUCUAGACUCCUACGGGAGGCAGCAGUAGGGAAUCUUCCGCAAUGGGCGAAAGCCUGACGGAGCAACGCCGCGUGAGUGAUGAAGGUCUUCGGAUCGUAAAACUCUGUUAUUAGGGAAGAACAAAUGUGUAAGUAACUAUGCACGUCUUGACGGUACCUAAUCAGAAAGCCACGGCUAACUACGUG
rnacentral:rRNA from 1 species